rnacentral:tRNA from 1 species
CGCGGGGUGGAGCAGCUGGAAGCUCGUCGGGCUCAUAACCCGGAGGUCGCAGGUUCGAAUCCUGUCCCCGCAA